UACCAGCACCCCGAGUGGUCUGGACGAUUAUUGGGCCUAAAGCAUCCGUAGCCGGUUCUGCAAGUCUUCCGUUAAAUCCACCUGCUUAACAGAUGGGCCGCGGAAGAUACUAUAGAGCUAGGAGGCGGGAGAGGCAAGCGGUACUCGAUGGGUAGGGGUAAAAUCCGUUGAUCCAUUGAAGACCACCAGUGGCGAAGGCGGCUUGCCAGAACGCGCUCGACGGUGAGGGAUGAAAGCUGGGGGAGCAAACCGG
rnacentral:rRNA from 1 species